GUAUGACAUCACCGCUGGACAAAGCAGCAAAGGAGGGGUUUCUGUGCAGAGAAGCGUCCCAAAUCAAUGGGAACAACAAAAAAACGCUCACAAAUAAACAGCCUGUAGUUUUAUCUCCCGUCAAAACAAAGAGUUCCAGCUCCGGUAGUGUUUUUGCUAACAGAGGAAUGAACUGCAGCGGACAGUAACAUCGCCAGUACGGGACACAGAAGAGACUCGCCGCCGCUGGACGGUGGGAGGUUUUGAAGUUUCGCCCCCGUAACAUGUGCUGUUUGUGAAGAAGUUGACCUGCGGUUUGAAUCCACCCUUGAAGACCAUGCUAUCCCUCCUGCUGCCCGCAAUGCUGGCUGUCCAAGCAAUGGGUGCGGGUCGGAGUCUCAACACAAGGUCCCUGUGUAGAGAUGUGUCCUCCCAGAGCCUUGGAGUGAGUGCUGUGAUGGAAUUGCAAGUACCGGAGCAGCCAGUGGUGGCGCUUUAUGGCAAGGACGUCACACUCAACUGUUCCUUCAGCCACGCCAGCCCCUUCAACCUGUCUGAUCUGAGUGUCUUCUGGCAGCUGACAGACACCAAACGCAAUGUGCAUGGGUACUGGGAGGGACAUGACCAGCUGGUGGACCAGGCAGAGAGCUUUGCCAACCGUACCAGCCUGUUCCCCGCCCAGCUGGGCAUGGGCAACGUUUCCCUCCUGCUAAGCAGGGUGGUGGUGGCUGAUGAAGGCAGCUAUACCUGCUUCGUCAAGGUGCAGGACUACGGCAGCGCUGCUCUGUUGCUACAGGUAGCUGCCACCUACUCCAAGCCUGUGGUGACUUUAGAGCCUGAAUCCAACCUGCGGCCAGGUGACGAGGUGGCCUUGACUUGUGUGGCCUAUGGAGGUUAUCCUGAGGCCGGCGUCAUAUGGCAGGAUGGAGCCGGGCGCAAUCUGACCGACAAUAUCACCACAUCAGUGGUGGCCAAUGAGGAAGGGUUGUUUACUCUAACCAGCAUCCUGCGGGUCGUGCUGGAACCCAAUAGCACCUACAGCUGCCAACUGAUCAACCCACUACUGGGCGAGGAGGGCAACGCCUUCGUCACAAUCACAGGUCAGAACAUUGCGUUCCCCCCGGUGGCUCUGUGGGUAACUGUUGGCCUGGCUGUGUGUCUGCUGGUGCUGCUCAUUGCCCUGGCUGCUGUCUGCCGCAGGAAGAUCAAGGAGAGCUGUGAGGAGGCCAGGAGAGAAGGUACGGGGAAUGGAAGAGGAGGAAAGCAAGAGAGCUGAAGAGGCCAAGGAGCUGGAAGAAGAGGAGUCAAAGACAGCCAUGACACCACUGAAAAGUUAAAGGCAAGAGAAUUAAGGAGUCGGGGCCGGACGGAGGGGGAAGGAGAUGAGUCUGGCGGGUAAUCCCACUCCACCUAUCCAUCAACCUGGAGACUAUUUCCAGCGUCCCCUACAGAAUGUCAAAGCCUCGCUGAGCAGAAGAUGAGCCCAUCAUCUUCUUUCUAAGACUUUCCCUCGAGUUUCCAUCAAAACAAAUAAACACAUCAUGUGCCAUUAUAUUCUAUUGUCCUCCCUCCCUUUCCGUCAAUGGAAGGGCCGAGGCAGUGAGUGAAUGCAGUUGGGUGGGUUGUGUUAUGUGCAGUAUGCAGAAGAGAAGCUCUGUUUGAAAACUACAGGAUGUGACAGGAUCCUUUCUCUGUCGCUGACAUCACUCUGCAUGGGUUGUGAUGGGGCAUGUGCCAGAGAUCUCCUGUCUAAUAGGAAGUGAGACACUUAAAGAGAUGACCCAGCCUCAGUUGCCAUCACUGUUUCUCUGCCAGCGAGAGAGCUUGGCUCUCCCAUUACUCCUGCACUUGCUAAUUAGCGUCUGUCGCUGGAGUAACUUGUACCUGUCAGUGUGUGCCGCUCUCCUAUAUUCAGUAAGUUGAGGGAAUUGAAAUUGAAUGCCAGCUAAGCUCCAACAAACUGCAAAUGGUGCAUGGGAUACACCCUGAUUUUCUCACUGACCUGACAGCCUUAUAUGUAAGAAAUUGUUUUUAAUGAACACAGACUAUGUCAGCUGGUUUCUGCGGCUGGUGUGGAAUGUUUUUUAUCUCUUCCAGGCUCGGGGUUGUACAGGUUGUUUUAUUGCAUUUUUUUUAAGUACUUAACCAAGUCCCAGUGCCAUAUGUCCUUGUAUGAAUGCCAAAGCCAUUUCUGUGUGAUAACCCAGUGCCUAUUUACAUUAAAGAGACAUGGUGAAA